rnacentral:rRNA from 1 species
GAUGAACGCUGGCGGCGUGCCUAAUACAUGCAAGUCGAGCGAACGGACGAGAAGCUUGCUUUUCUGACGUUAGCGGCGGACGGGUGAGUAACACGUGGAUAACCUACCUAUAAGACUGGGAUAACUUCGGGAAACCGGAGCUAAUACCGGAUAAUAUUUUGAACCGCAUGGUUCAAAAGUGAAAGACGGUCUUGCUGUCACUUAUAGAUGGAUCCGCGCUGCAUUAGCUAGUUGGUAAGGUAACGGCUUACCAAGGCAACGAUGCAUAGCCGACCUGAGAGGGUGAUCGGCGACACUGGAACUGAGACACGGUCCAGACUCCUACGGGAGGCAGCAGUAGGGAAUCUGCCGCAAUGGGCGAAAGCCUGACGGAGCAACGCCGCGUGAGUGAUGAAGGUCUUCGGAUCGUAAAACUCUGUUAUUAGGGAAGAACAUAUGUGUAAGUAACUGUGCACAUCUUGACGGUACCUAAUCAGAAAGCCACGGCUAACUACGUG